rnacentral:rRNA from 1 species
GAUGAACGCUGGCGGCGUGCCUAAUACAUGCAAGUCGAGCGAACAGACGAGGAGCUUGCUUCUCUGAUGUUAGCGGCGGACGGGUGAGUAACACGUGGAUAACCUACCUAUAAGACUGGGAUAACUUCGGGAAACCGUAGCUAAUACCGGAUAAUAUGUUGAACCGCAUGGUUCAACAGUGAAAGACGGUCUUGCUGUCACUUAUAGAUGGAUCCGCGCUGCAUUAGCUAGUUGGUAAGGUAACGGCUUACCAAGGCAACGAUGCGUAGCCGACCUGAGAGGGUGAUCGGCCACACUGGAACUGAGACACGGUCCAGACUCCUACGGGAGGCAGCAGUAGGGAAUCUUCCGCAAUGGGCGAAAGCCUGACGGAGCAACGCCGCGUGAGUGAUGAAGGUCUUCGGAUCGUAAAACUCUGUUAUUAGGGAAGAACAAAUGUGUAAGUAACUGUGCACGUCUUGACGGUACCUAAUCAGAAAGCCACGGCUAACUACGUG